CCGGACACAGUGCGCAGGGAUAGAUAAGAGGUCACUUUAGAAUCCACUUUCCAUCCCUUGCACUGUUUCCGC
ensembl:miRNA mdo-mir-1545a mdo-mir-1545a